rnacentral:rRNA from 1 species
ACUCCUACGGGAGGCAGCAGUGGGGAAUAUUGGACAAUGGGCGCAAGCCUGAUCCAGCCAUGCCGCGUGAGUGAUGAAGGCCCUAGGGUUGUAAAGCUCUUUCACCGGUGAAGAUAAUGACGGUAACCGAGAAGAAGCUCCGGCUAACUUCGUGCCAGCAGCCGCGGUAAUACGAAGGGAGCUAGCGUUGUUCGGAAUUACUGGGCGUAAAGCGCACGUAGGCGGACUGUUAAGUC